GACGAACGCUUGCGGCGUGCCUAAGAAAUGCAAGUCGAGCGAGGUUAGAAGCUUGCUUCGAAGCCUAGCGGCGAACGGUCGAGUAACACGUAGGCAACCUGCCCCAAAGCGGGGGAUAGCCCACCGAAAGGUGGAUUAAUACCGCAUGUGGUCAUGAUUUGGCAUCUUAUUAUGACUAAAGCAGCAAUGCACUUUGGGAUGGGCUUGCGGCCUAUCAGCUAGUUGGUGAGGUAACGGCUCACCAAGGCGACGACGGGUAGCUGGUCUGAGAGGAUGGUCAGCCGGACUGGGACUGAGACACGGCCCAGACUCCUACGGGUGGCUG
rnacentral:rRNA from 1 species